AUUGAACGCUGGCGGCAUGCUUUACACAUGCAAGUCGAACGGUAACAGGUUAAGCUGACGAGUGGCGAACGGGUGAGUAAUGCAUCGGAACGUGCCUGGUCGUGGGGGAUAACGCAGCGAAAGCUGCGCUAAUACCGCAUACGAUCUGAGGAUGAAAGCGGGGGACCGUAAGGCCUCGCGCGGUCGGAGCGGCCGGUGUGAGAUUAGGUAGUUGGUGGGGUAAAGGCUCACCAAGCCAACGAUCUGUAGCUGGUCUGAGAGGACGACCAGCCACACUGGGACUGAGACACGGCCCAGACUCCUACGGGAGGCAGCAGUGGGGAAUUUUGGACAAUGGGCGAAAGCCUGAUCCAGCAAUGCCGCGUGCAGGAAGAAGGCCUUCGGGUUGUAAACUGCUUUUGUACGGAGCGAAAAGGUCUCCUCUAAUACAGGGGGCUCAUGACGGUACCGUAAGAAUAAGCACCGGCUAACUACGUGCCAGCAGCCGCCGUAA
rnacentral:rRNA from 1 species